CGUCAUUUCAACCCUCAAGCCCUGCUUGGUGAUGGGGCCCUACUAGUCUUGUAGGCCCUGAAAUCUAGUGGCGGCCUCGCUAUAAUCCCGAGCGCAGUAAAAUGCCUCGCUUAGGGUAUUAUAGUGGGAGCCCGCCGUAAAACCCCCCAUAUUUUACCAAGGUUGACCUCGGAUCAGGUAGGAAUACCCGCUGAACUUAA
rnacentral:misc_RNA from 1 species